rnacentral:rRNA from 1 species
CAAUAGCGUAUAUUAAAGUUGUUGCAGUUAAAAAGCUCGUAGUUGGAUUUCUGGAUCGAACGCUUCGUCCGCCGCUGUGCGGUGUGUACUGAGGUUUUGUUUCGAUUCAUCCUUGCAGGGAAGCGAGUUCGAGAUUAAUUUGUCGGCUCGGGGAACUGCAUCUUUUACUGUGAAAAAAUUAGAGUGUUUAAAGCAGGCAUUUUGCUGUGAAUACAUUAGCAUGGAAUAAUAACAUAGGACUUUGGUUCUAUUUUGUUGGUUGGAGGCCAAGGUAAUGAUUAAUAGGGACAGUUGGGGGUAUUCAUAUUUAAUUGUCAGAGGUGAAAUUCUUGGAUUUAUGAAAGAUGAACUCAUGCGAAANCANNNACCAAGGAUGUUUUCAUNAA